rnacentral:tRNA from 1 species
GGCCUCGUAGCUCAGCUCGAAAGAGCGUAGGCGGAGUUCAUGUGUGGGUUCGAAUCCCACUGAGGCUA